AAUGAUUUGAACAUGUGGUGGAACGCAAGCGAGUAUGGCGGUGUUGGGAUAAUCUUUGGAAACCGGGUAUGCUCAUGUAUAAGUGGUGAAUAGGCUACCAAUAACAACAGGCUGACGAAGAAGUUGAUCGUAAAAUUCACGGUAACUUCUUAACUUAGAUAUGUGACCACAUCACAUGCCUGAUGACAACCUCAUAGCCUCAAACGCUCAGAGGUUUCGAAUGUUUAUGUGACCGUUAUAAAGGAAAGGAUAGCAAGGAUAUCACAAUGGCAGCAACCUGAUUGACAUCUUUCGGCACAAUAGCAAAAAACGCUAUUCGGGCUUUGGCAUCUGGCCACAGUUGAGGAUAGACAAGCUAAUAUAUGGUGCCUGCUUCUGUUAAAAAAAGAACUUUAAUUUCGGAGUCCAUAUCACUGAAAACCUGC